rnacentral:rRNA from 1 species
GAUGAACGCUGGCGGCGUGCCUAAUACAUGCAAGUCGAGCGAAUGGAUUAAGAGCUUGCUCUUAUGAAGUUAGCGGCGGACGGGUGAGUAACACGUGGGUAACCUGCCCAUAAGACUGGGAUAACUCCGGGAAACCGGGGCUAAUACCGGAUAACAUUUUGAACCGCAUGGUUCGAAAUUGAAAGGCGGCUUCGGCUGUCACUUAUGGAUGGACCCGCGUCGCAUUAGCUAUUUGGUGAGGUAACGGCUCACCAAGGCAACGAUGCGUAGCCGACCUGAGAGGGUGAUCGGCCACACUGGGACUGAGACACGGCCCAGACUCCUACGGGAGGCAGCAGUAGGGAAUCUUCCGCAAUGGACGAAAGUCUGACGGAGCAACGCCGCGUGAGUGAUGAAGGCUUUCGGGUCGUAAAACUCUGUUGUUAGGGAAGAACAAGUGCUAGUUGGAUAAGCUGGCACCUUGACGGUACCUAACCAGAAAGCCACGGCUAACUACGUGCCAGCCGCCGCGGUAA